AAACACUUUUCCACCCCCUCUAAACACCUCAUCCCCUCUCUUUCUUCGAAACCCAUCCCCAAAAACCAUUCUUUCUCGCUCAAGACUAAUGGGUUUUCUUCUCUUCCUUCUCCAGUGUUUCUUCUCCCUCUCCAAGUAUUUUUUUUAUUUUUUUUGUAAAUACUGGGAAAAAAGGUUGUUGCUUGAUUGUUUGCUCUCCUACUGGUGUUGCAAUUACCUCCGCUGGAACGAAGAAAUGUGAUCUUUUCUUGGGUGAUGUUAAUACCCAAUUGAAGUCUAGGAAUGUUACAACUGAUAUCAAAGUGGACAUCAACUCCAAUAUAAUUGAUAAACCUAUACCCAGGCUAAAGGCAAUCUUUGGCUUCAGAGUAUCUGAUCAGAGGUCUUGCAAGAUUGAACUCUAAUAUUUGCAUGAGUAUGCUGGGAUAAGCUCAAGCAUUGGAUUGACUGCCAAUCCGAUAGUGAACUUAUCGGGUGUGCUUGGAACAAAUGUUCUUGCACUAGGUACUGAUAUCUCAUUCGACACGAAGACUAAGAAUUUCACCAAAUGCAACGCGAGAUUGAGCUUCACCAAUGCAGACCUUAUUGCUUCUUUGGCUCUGCAUGUGGUUAUGUUCUAUAUACCUAUCUACUACUAAACAUUCCAAAUGAUAUAACCUCAAGUUUAAUACCUUGUUUGUCAAUGCAGGAACGAAAAAGGUAAUUCGAUUAAUGCAUCUUACUACCAUAUUGUGAAUCCAUCGACCAACACUGUUGUUGGUGUUGAGGUGACCCAUAGCUUCUCUACCAAUGUGAACACCAUCACUGUGGGUACACAACAUGUAUUGGAUCCAUUAACCACAACCAAGGCACGGGUGAACCAUGCUGGUAAGGCAAGCACACUCAUCCAGCACAAGUGGCGCCCGAAAUCCCUCUUUACCAUUUCUAGAGAGGUGGAUACAAAGUCCAUCGAUAAGAGCCCUAAGGUCGGACUUGCAUUGGCACUCAAGCCUUAAGAGCUUAAAAAAAACUCAUUUUGGUAAGAGUAUGGUAGACUUAAAAAGAUUUUUGAAGUUUUAGUCUAUUGUUGACUUUUAUGGUGUUGCCAUCUUCCCUUUUAUGUCAAUGAUUUUUCAUUUUUAAAAAGAAUAAAGUGGAAAAAAUGUGAUAACUGUUUUUAUUCA